rnacentral:rRNA from 1 species
AACGAACGCUGGCGGCAGGCCUAACACAUGCAAGUCGAGCGCUCACCUUCGGGUGGGAGCGGCGCACAGGUGAGUAACACGUGGGAACCUACCUUGAAGUACGGAAUAACUGAGGGAAACUUCAGCUAAUACCGUAUACGCCCUACGGGGGAAAGAUUUAUCGCUUCAAGACGGGCCCGAGUUGGAUUAGCUAGUUGGUGAGGUAAUGGCUCACCAAGGCAACGAUCCAUAGCUGAUUUGAGAGAAUGAUCAGCCACACUGGGACUGAGACACGGCCCAGACUCCUACGGGAGGCAGCAGUGGGGAAUAUUGGACAAUGGGCGCAAGCCUGAUCCAGCCAUGCCGCGUGAGUGAUGAAGGCCUUCGGGUUGUAAAGCUCUUUCAGAUGGGACGAUGAUGACGGUACCAUCAGAAGAAGCCCCGGCUAACUUCGUGCCAGCCGCCGCCGUAACAC